UACGUAGGGUGCGAGCGUUGUCCGGCAUUAUUGGGCGUAAAGAGCUCGUAGGCGGUCUGUCGCGUCGAUCGUGAAAACUUGGGGCUUAACCCUGAGCUUGCGGUCGAUACGGGCAUGACUGGAGUUCGGCAGGGGAGACUGGAAUUCCUGGUGUAGCGGUGAAAUGCGCAGAUAUCAGGAGGAACACCGGUGGCGAAGGCGGGUCUCUGGGCCGAUACUGACGCUGAGGAGCGAAAGCGUGGGGAGCGAACAGG
rnacentral:rRNA from 1 species